AAAGUCGUAACAAGGUAACCGUAGGUGAACCUGCGGUUGGAUCAUUACCAAAACUACCUCGCGGAGGCGCAAGCCUUCGUGGCUGCAUGCAAAUGCACGCCGAAUCCUUUAUGUGCACCUUUUUUUUUCUCCGUGAAACUUUGGACUCAAGUGCGCGGCUUCGGCUUCGGACAAGAGGAAGAAGGAUCACUAAGAAGCAUUUGUCAUUUGAUUUCGACCUGUCUGAAAACAUGUGAUGUUACAAACAAUAACAAAACACAACUUUUGGCAACGGAUCUCUUGGCUCUC
rnacentral:misc_RNA from 1 species